rnacentral:rRNA from 1 species
UAUACGGAGUUACAAAGGACGACAUUAGACGAAUCAUCUGGAAAGAUGAAUCAAAGAAGGUAAUAAUCCUGUAGUCGAAAAUGUUGUCUCUCUUGAGUGGAUCCUGAGUACGACGGAGCACGUGAAAUUCCGUCGGAAUCUGGGAGGACCAUCUCCUAAGGCUAAAUACUCUCUAGUGACCGAUAGUGAACCAGUACCGUGAGGGAAAGGUGAAAAGCACCCCGGAAGGGGAGUGAAAUAGAACCUGAAACCGUGUGCUUACAAGUAGUCAGAGCCCGUUAAUGGGUGAUGGCGUGCCUUUUGUAGAAUGAACCGGCGAGUUACGAUUUGAUGCAAGGUUAAGCAGUAAAUGUGGAGCCGUAGCGAAAGCGAGUCUGAAUAGGGCGUUUAGUAUUUGGUCGUAGACCCGAAACCAGGUGAUCUACCCUUGGUCAGGUUGAAGUUCAGGUAACACUGAAUGGAGGACCGAACCGACUUACGUUGAAAAGUGAGCGGAUGAACUGAGGGUAGCGGAGAAAUUCCAAUCGAACCUGGAGAUAGCUGGUUCUCUCCGAAAUAGCUUUAGGGCUAGCCUCAAGUGAUGAUUAUUGGAGGUAGAGCACUGUUUGGACGAGGGGCCCCUCUCGGGUUACCGAAUUCAGACAAACUCCGAAUGCCAAUUAAUUUAACUUGGGAGUCAGAACAUGGGUGAUAAGGUCCGUGUUCGAAAGGGAAACAGCCCAGACCACCAGCUAAGGUCCCAAAAUAUAUGUUAAGUGGAAAAGGAUGUGGCGUUGCCCAGACAACUAGGAUGUUGGCUUAGAAGCAGCCAUCAUUUAAAGAGUGCGUAAUAGCUCACUAGUCGAGUGACACUGCGCCGAAAAUGUACCGGGGCUAAACAUAUUACCGAAGCUGUGGAUUGUCCUUUGGACAAUGGUAGGAGAGCGUUCUAAGGGCGUUGAAGCAUGAUCGUAAGGACAUGUGGAGCGCUUAGAAGUGAGAAUGCCGGUGUGAGUAGCGAAAGACGGGUGAGAAUCCCGUCCACCGAUUGACUAAGGUUUCCAGAGGAAGGCUCGUCCGCUCUGGGUUAGUCGGGUCCUAAGCUGAGGCCGACAGGCGUAGGCGAUGGAUAACAGGUUGAUAUUCCUGUACCACCUAUAAUCGUUUUAAUCGAUGGGGGGACGCAGUAGGAUAGGCGAAGCGUGCGAUUGGAUUGCACGUCUAAGCAGUAAGGCUGAGUAUUAGGCAAAUCCGGUACUCGUUAAGGCUGAGCUGUGAUGGGGAGAAGACAUUGUGUCUUCGAGUCGUUGAUUUCACACUGCCGAGAAAAGCCUCUAGAUAGAAAAUAGGUGCCCGUACCGCAAACCGACACAGGUAGUCAAGAUGAGAAUUCUAAGGUGAGCGAGCGAACUCUCGUUAAGGAACUCGGCAAAAUGACCCCGUAACUUCGGGAGAAGGGGUGCUCUUUAGGGUUAACGCCCAGAAGAGCCGCAGUGAAUAGGCCCAAGCGACUGUUUAUCAAAAACACAGGUCUCUGCUAAACCGUAAGGUGAUGUAUAGGGGCUGACGCCUGCCCGGUGCUGGAAGGUUAAGAGGAGUGGUUAGCUUCUGCGAAGCUACGAAUCGAAGCCCCAGUAAACGGCGGCCGUAACUAUAACGGUCCUAAGGUAGCGAAAUUCCUUGUCGGGUAAGUUCCGACCCGCACGAAAGGCGUAACGAUUUGGGCACUGUCUCAACGAGAGACUCGGUGAAAUCAUAGUACCUGUGAAGAUGCAGGUUACCCGCGACAGGACGGAAAGACCCCGUGGAGCUUUACUGUAGCCUGAUAUUGAAAUUCGGCACAGCUUGUACAGGAUAGGUAGGAGCCUUUGAAACGUGAGCGCUAGCUUACGUGGAGGCGCUGGUGGGAUACUACCCUAGCUGUGUUGGCUUUCUAACCCGCACCACUUAUCGUGGUGGGAGACAGUGUCAGGCGGGCAGUUUGACUGGGGCGGUCGCCUCCUAAAAGGUAACGGAGGCGCUCAAAGGUUCCCUCAGAAUGGUUGGAAAUCAUUCAUAGAGUGUAAAGGCAUAAGGGAGCUUGACUGCGAGACCUACAAGUCGAGCAGGGUCGAAAGACGGACUUAGUGAUCCGGUGGUUCCGCAUGGAAGGGCCAUCGCUCAACGGAUAAAAGCUACCCCGGGGAUAACAGGCUUAUCUCCCCCAAGAGUUCACAUCGACGGGGAGGUUUGG